CCCUGCUUUCGGUUUACAAAUUGAUUUUUAUACCCAAAAGAAAAUAAAAUAAAAAAUCAAUCUUUGCUAUUAUCCUUUAGGUCUUUGCUUGUUUCUCUCUGUUUGGCCUCUGUUUUUGCAGGAGUAGGUGCGGCGUCAGAGGCAGGAGCGUACGGCACACAUGGCCCUGGCAUGCGGCGCUGGAGAAGGCAGGGAACCCUAGGGUUCCUUGAUUUUUAAUUUUUGGGCCUAAUUGGGCCAAUUUAGUUUUUU
rnacentral:lncRNA from 1 species